rnacentral:rRNA from 1 species
UGCAGUCGAGCGGAUGAAGGGAGCUUGCUCCUGGAUUCAGCGGCGGACGGGUGAGUAAUGCCUAGGAAUCUGCCUGGUAGUGGGGGAUAACGUCCGGAAACGGGCGCUAAUACCGCAUACGUCCUGAGGGAGAAAGUGGGGGAUCUUCGGACCUCACGCUAUCAGAUGAGCCUAGGUCGGAUUAGCUAGUUGGUGGGGUAAAGGCCUACCAAGGCGACGAUCCGUAACUGGUCUGAGAGGAUGAUCAGUCACACUGGAACUGAGACACGGUCCAGACUCCUACGGGAGGCAGCAGUGGGGAAUAUUGGACAAUGGGCGAAAGCCUGAUCCAGCCAUGCCGCGUGUGUGAAGAAGGUCUUCGGAUUGUAAAGCACUUUAAGUUGGGAGGAAGGGCAGUAAGUUAAUACCUUGCUGUUUUGACGUUACCAACAGAAUAAGCACCGGCUAACUUCGUGCCAGCAGCCGCGGUAAUACGAAGGGUGCAAGCGUUAAUCGGAAUUACUGGGCGUAAAGCGCGCGUAGGUGGUUCAGCAAGUUGGAUGUGAAAUCCCCGGGCUCAACCUGGGAACUGCAUCCAAAACUACUGAGCUAGAGUACGGUAGAGGGUGGUGGAAUUUCCUGUGUAGCGGUGAAAUGCGUAGAUAUAGGAAGGAACACCAGUGGCGAAGGCGACCACCUGGACUGAUACUGACACUGAGGUGCGAAAGCGUGGGGAGCAAACAGGAUUAGAUACCCUGGUAGUCCACGCCGUAAACGAUGUCGACUAGCCGUUGGGAUCCUUGAGAUCUUAGUGGCGCAGCUAACGCGAUAAGUCGACCGCCUGGGGAGUACGGCCGCACGGUUAAACUCAAAUGAAUUGACGGGGGCCCGCACAAGCGGU